CCAGGAUGUUGGCUUAGAAGCAGCCACUCAUUAAAAGAGUGCGUAAUAGCUCACUGGUCGAGUGACUCUGCGCCGAAAAUUCAACGGGGCUAAACGUGUAACCGAAGCUUGGGAUUUCAUUCACUGAACAAUGCUUUUUGUCAGGCAGGAGGGAAAGAUUUGCUGCCGAAGGCAGCUAAAUUCCCAAAAGCAAACGAGAGAGAAAGUAUUGGUCAGUGAAUGAAAUGGUAGGGGAGCGUCGUAUACGGGGUGAAGUAUGAGCGAAAGCGCAUGUGGACUGUAUACGAGUGAGAAUGCCGGAAUGAGUAGCGAGAAAUAUGUGAGAAUCAUAUUGGCCGAAAGUCUAAGGUUUCCGGAGGAAGGUUCGUCCGCUCCGGGUAAGCCGGGAGCUAAGGUGAGGCCGGAAGGCGUAGCCGAUGCACAUACGGUAGAGAUUCCGUAGCUGCCGGAGGAUUUAAGCAGAGGGACACUGUCAAAGGGUAUGACCCGGGCGUUGGUAGCCCCGGGCGAAAGGGACUGAAAUAUAGUAGGGAAGCAUACUUGGCGGCAGGCGAGAAAAGCUCUGUGAAUAUCUGAGGCACCCGUACCGCAAACCGACACAGGUAGACAGGAAGAGAAUUCUAAGGCCAACGGGAGAAGGGUUGUUAAGGAACUCGGCAAGUUGACCCCGUAACUUAGGGAAAAGGGGUGCUCCUGAAAGGGAGCCGCAGAGAAUAGGUCCAGGCGACUGUUUAGCAAAAACACAGCUCUAUGCUAAAUCGAAAGAUGACGUAUAUGGGGUGACACCUGCCCGGUGCCGGAAGGUUAAGAGGAGGAGUGAGAGCUCUGAAUUGAAGCCCCGGUAAACGGCGGCCGUAACUAUAACGGUCCUAAGGUAGCGAAAUUCCUUGUCAGGUAAGUUCUGACCCGCACGAAUGGUGUAACGAUCUGGACACUGUCUCAACAGCCCGCCCGGCGAAAUUGUAGUACCGGUGAAGAUGCCGGUUACCCGCGACAAGACGGAAAGACCCCAUGGAGCUUUACUGCAGCUUAAUAUUGGAUUUCGGUAUUUCAUGUACAGGAUAGGUGGGAGGCAGAGAAGGCAGCACGCCAGUGUUGCUGGAGCCGACGUUGGGAUACCACUCUUGAGGUGCUGAAAUUCUAACCUGCGGCCGUGAAUCCGGUCGGGGGACAGUGUUAGGCGGGCAGUUUGACUGGGGCGGUCGCCUCCAAAAAGGUAACGGAGGCGCUCAAAGGUUGGCUCAGCAUGGACGGAAACCAUGCCAAAGAGUGUAAACGCAAAAGCCAGCCUAACUGCGAGAGCGACAGUUCGAGCAGUAACGAAAGUUGGAGUUAGUGAUCCGGUGGUAUGUGAGUGGAAAUGCCAUCGCUCAACGGAUAAAAGCUACCCUGGGGAUAACAGGCUGAUCUCCCCCAAGAGUCCACAUCGUCGGGGAGGUUUGGCACCUCGAUGUCGGCUCAUCGCAUCCUGGGGCUGAAUUCGGUCCCAAGGGUUUGGCUGUUCGCCAAUUAAAGCGGUACGCGAGCUGGGUUCAGAACGUCGUGAGAC
rnacentral:rRNA from 1 species